rfam:Otolemur garnettii contig087419, whole genome shotgun sequence.
AGCUUUGCACAGUGGCAGUAUCGUAGCCAAUGAGGUUUAUCUGAGGAGCGAUUAUUGCUAAUUGAAAACUUUUCCAAAAUAAAC